rnacentral:lncRNA from 1 species
UCUGACAGUCCAUCUCGCAAUAUGUUCCUCCAGCAUAAAAACAAGACAAAGUUUCUGCAGAGCUGCUCUAACCCAAUAAUAAAAUUGGACAAUAAGCUGCAUAUCUGCCGGAAACCUGGGACUGGCAAUGGAGAUGAGAAGAGAAUCAGAAGGCUGAAAUGAAGCCACAAUGUUGACAGCAAGUGGAGUCUGGCAACCCCAAGUUUCCAAAGUGCACAUCUGCGCUGGGGCCUGGAGAUUUCUGGAAGGGAAUCAGUCUGUGUCCUUUUUGCAGGAUAUGUCUGAUGACAUAGAAGCUGUGGAAUCCAUUCUUCAGGGUCUAAACUCAAGCCUGGUCCUUAGUUCUCCGUACUGUAUUCUUCCUGACCUCCAGACCUGAGCGUCCUCCCCUUCAAAAGACAAAGCCAUCCAAAGAGUCUGAGCACUCCAAGUGAGCAGCUUGAAGAGUGAGAGACAUGGACAGAGGGAAGGGCAGGUCUGUGCAGCCUGUGGCCAUAAACCCCACCUCUGGCCUUCUCCAGUGAAGCCACACUCAAGAUUUAAGAGAACUUGUGAUCAACUUGGGGUAUUUGCACCCCACGAAAAGGGAGUUUGCAGGAUCCCUAAUAUCACUGCGAGUUGCCACUUUUCCAGUCUUUUUUUGCUGUUCGCUCAUAUCCACAGGGAAAAAAACGAAAUGAGCAGCCCAGUCCCUCAGGCCUUUUUCUUUAAUGUUGCCAUCAAAAAUCAAUAAAAUGCAUCAAGCUGUUUCAACUAAGUUGAUCUCAAAUCAAACUGGUAUGGUUGUCAGGGAAUAUGUUGAACUAUAUUUAAGUGAAGAAAGAUUUU